rnacentral:lncRNA from 1 species
CCCAGCAAUGCCGGGGCCAUUGGAAAGGAGAGAAUGUGAGAGUCCUGCCAUGCCAGCAGCUCCGCGCCACCCUGACCUGGCUUCUCUGGCUCUGGCACCCAGGCCCGCAGCCGGGGCGCAGGGGGAGCGGACCCAGGAGCCCCAGCCAGUAGCUCGGGCCUCCCCCUUCCUGCCUCAGCUGCUGGCUUGGCCCACGCUGAGCCACACAAUGGCUCCUGACAGCUCUGGGGCUGCAGCACGAGGGACAAAGGGUGGUGCUGAUUUCAGGGUGCUUGUACAGGCUGCUGUAUUCCAGGGACCAUGACACCUCACCUUCCAGCUCCUGCAUCCUUCCUGCAGUAUCUAAGGAGGCAGUGAGUUUAGAUGCCACUGAUACAAUCCCAACAUCACAAAAUGGAAGGAGUUUGGGUUCCAGAGUAACCAGCCUCGCAGGAGAGCUGCCAGACUUGGCUUGGACAGCGACACGAGGGAGAAACAAACGUAUAUGUGAGAUCGCUGAGGUCAUGUUACGGCGACUGAAGUAAGAUAAGGUGGUGUCCGGAGUAUGGGGUCUGGAGCUUGACUACCUGGAUUCAAAUCCCUGCUCAGUCAUCUCUUGGCUGUGUGACUUAAGAUGAGAAGAUACAUCUGCUUCUGCUUCUAAGAGUUGGUGAUUCUCAUCCUUCUCUCUGCACUUGCCCUUGCCGUGUCCUUGGUCAGCACAGAGGAAGGACAACAGCCCAUCUCCCUCACAUCGGAAGUGGCUCCACAAGUUGGCCUUCACUGCCAUCAACCCUAACAGGUGUGGUGCUCUAUCUCCACAGUCCUCCAGAGCGCCCUCAAGUCCCUCAGGGUGUCUUUACUCCAAGAAGGGGUUCUAGACUAGACAAGCAGAGGUGUUGCAGAAAGGAAGAUACUGCAAAGGAUUCAGGCAGCAAAGGGUGUGCUCCCCACACUGGGGAAGACAUCUGGGCAGAAGGGCCUGGGCUGGACCUCACAUCCAUCCCUCUUCCCUUGGGGUCCUUGACCACCCUUGAGAAUGGCACCUACAUGCUCUAAUUCUCCAUAAAAUCCAGAGGCAAAAUGUCCCUGCUGUAAAGACCUUGAACCCUUUUUGGGAAGGUUUUAUGAACUUAAUAUCAUGGGUUGCUCUAACCCCAGCCUUUGUCCUGACAGCAUCUGCUCAGGGAGUUUGAGAUUCAGCCAGUCUGUAAAGAGCUUCAGAUCCAGGGCUUUGAGGUGGGGAGAAGUGGUCACCUUGGAGAAAGCAGGAAACUGUGGCCAGCUGGGGCAUUCUUUGCUAUAGAUUCCAAGAGACAAACUUGCUGAUCCCAGGUCAAGUCUGCCCCUGCUUCCCUGCAUCUAGAACCAUCUCUGGCUCCACCUCCCAUUAACACCCCAGAACAGAUUCCCUACCCACCUCCUCAAGAAGAACAUUGCCUCCGGGGAUUUUCUAAGAGUUUUUAGGAUAAGCAGCAGUUAGAAGCUAACAAUAAGUAAAAUUUCCAGAAAUCAAGAGAAACUUGCAAUGUUCCUUGACACUUUAAAUGAUGCACUUGAAACAAGAGGCUUGCAUUAGGAUCUAAAUUAGAGUUCUUGAGUGGCUUUUUCUAUUUUUUCUUUCACGUUAACCUGACUACAACUUUAUCUCCUCCAUUCACUUCCAAGAAGUCCUUAUAUAAUAAAGAGUUGAAGGCUGAAGCCCUUGCUUCCUCAAUAGGGGGCAGGCUCACCAGCUCCAUCUUGUCAGUUACCUCUUAAUGGUUGGUAGGAUGAGGGAAGCUUUCUCAAAAGACAGUUAAAAUAGUGCUUUAAGAAAUCCUCCGCCAAUAAAAAGUUGCUUCCAGAGUUAUAAAGUCAGUUUUCUUAACCUCUCAAUCUCAACUCAACUCAAAUUACAAAGUUUACAUGCCUUUGGGGAUGGCUGUAUUAAGUAAAUAGAGAGGAAUGGUCACAUUCAGUGUAAGCUAAAACACCCAAGGCUGGCAGUAGGAAAAGGAGCUACCUACCUAUCAGGUCUUUCAUAAAGCCAGUCCCUUAAGUAGAAAGAAUAAAGUUCUCUCAAGACUUACCCUAUGGACUGCCUUUCACAGCUGGUUCAUAUUUAUAAGCCAAUUUGUCUGGAAGUAAAUCUCUUUAACACACCCAACUGACUCCAAGAGGUGUGUCCCAUGGGAACCAAUCUUAAAUAACCGUCUCAAGAAAAGUUUUAGCAGCAAUAUUGUCAGUCCUGGAAUUUCCACCUUUGGGGGGAAAAAAAUCAACAAUAGAAUGCUUGGAAAUACAGAAUACACAGAGUUUAGCAAACUGCCAAAUUAAAUUCAGACACACACACACAAAUCUGCUAAUACCUAGUUAAAGAGUUGGCAUGGGAAGAAACAGACUUCUCAUUCAAGCCUGAAGCUCGGUAAUGGGUCAUUUGACCUGAAAUAACUUGGGCGGAAGUUGGCCUUAUUGUCUUCCACAAUCUCUUCCCACGCAGUCAAAAAAGGGGAUGCAAUCUUAAGAUUUUUUCUUCCUCAUUCUCUCCCGCCCUUUCUCCUCUCCGUCCCUCCCUUUUAUUUUCCCUCUCUCCUUCCUUCCUUCUUUUCUUUCUCUUUCAAUCUUUGGGCAUCAAAAAGGGUAUCCCAGAAAACUUCAAAUGAAGUUUUAGAAGAGGACCGUGUGUUGGUUUCAGUUGUUUUUAGGGUGGGGGCUUGAACAACCUCAUCUCAAAAAUGGAGAUUUUUUUUUUAUUACCUCUUUUGGUUGAGAUAUAAUUAAUAUAUAAUAAAGCUAUCUAAUUUACUGAAUUGGUCUGAUUCACAAGUUAAAUAAGGUUAAAUCAAAGAAAACAUGUAUAAGUCCCUCUAGACAGUGUCCAGGGUUGACUGGAUUAUAAACAGACAUAACCAUUGAGGUCACUUUUUAAUUUAAAAACCCUCAAUGGCUCCUGACUUCCUACAGAACAGUCUAAAAAUCUAAGGCUCAAAAAUGUCAGGCUCUCCUUUCUAGUGCUACCCCCAUCUCUUAUACAUACCAUUUGUCAGAUGCAACCAGAUAAUAGAAAUUUCCAGUCUCUCAGCUUCCUCCUGCUGCCCCAGGUCUGCUUAUCAAGGCCCUGCCCAUCCUUCAAAGUCAGAAGUCAUCUCCUCCAUGGAGUCCUCCAGGUCAGUCCCGCUGGUAUUCAUUUCCUUGCCUAUGGCCUAUCUCAUUACAUUGUAUUGCUGCUAAGGUAUUUGACACAUUCUGUUUCAUAUUAACUACUUCCUGUGACGAGCACCCCUCUUUCAUGUAAUUUUGAUAAACAUUCAUUGAGCAUCUAUAAUAUGUGGGCAGAGAGCCAGGCAUGGGGAGGAGCUCGGCAGAGGUACAGAGAUGAGUGACGUGGUGUUUACUCUGGAAGAGCUCAGGGCCUGGUGGGGAGCCUUGAAGUGGCAAGUCCCACCACGCACGAUCCAUCUCCAGCAGUGUCUACGGUUUCCAUGCACACCAGAUAUAGAUGCUAAUACAAAUGAAGCCACGCUAAAGGUAAAAAAAAAAAAAAAAA